rnacentral:rRNA from 1 species
AACGAACGCUGGCGGCAGGCCUAACACAUGCAAGUCGAACGCUCCGCAAGGGAGUGGCGCACGGGUGAGUAACACGUGGGAACCUACCUUCUGGUACGGAACAACCAAGGGAAACUUUGGCUAAGACCGUAUACGACCUCCGGGUGAAAGAUUGAUCGCCGGAAGAGGGGCCCGCGUCCGAUUAGGUAGUUGGUGAGGUAACGGCUCACCAAGCCUUCGAUCGGUAGCUGGUCUGAGAGGAUGACCAGCCACACUGGGACUGAGACACGGCCCAGACUCCUACGGGAGGCAGCAGUGGGGAAUCUUGCGCAAUGGCCGAAAGGCUGACGCAGCGACGCCGCGU